rnacentral:rRNA from 1 species
UUGACAUGUCCGGAAUCCCGAAGAGAUUCGGGAGUGCUCGCAAGAGAACCGGAACACAGGUGCUGCAUGGCUGUCGUCAGCUCGUGUCGUGAGAUGUUGGGUUAAGUCCCGCAACGAGCGCAACCCUUGUCAUUAGUUGCCAUCAUUUGGUUGGGCACUCUAAUGAGACUGCCGGUGACAAACCGGGAGGAAGGUGGGGAUGACGUCAAGUCCUCAUGGCCCUUAUGGGUAGGGCUUCACACGUCAUACAAUGGUCGGUACAGAGGGUUGCCAACCCGCGAGGGGGAGCUAAUCCCACAAAGCCGAUCGUAGUCCGGAUCGCAGUCUGCAACUCGACUGCGUGAAGUCGGAAUCGCUAGUAAUCGUGGAUCAGAAUGUCACGGUGAAUACGUUCCCGGGUCUU